UACGUAGGUGGCAAGCGUUGUCCGGAUUUAUUGGGCUUAAAGGGUGCGUAGGCGGCUUUGUAAGUCAGUGGUGAAAUACUCUAGCUUAACUAGAGGGGUGCCAUUGAUACUGCGGAGCUUGAGUACAGAUGAGGUAGGCGGAAUUGACGGUGUAGCGGUGAAAUGCAUAGAUAUCGUCAAGAACACCGAUAGCGAAGGCAGCUUACUGGACUGUAACUGACGCUGAUGCACGAAAGUGUGGGGAUCAAACAGG
rnacentral:rRNA from 1 species